CAGUAGCCGCGGUAAUACGGAGGGCGCGAGCGUUACCCGGAUUUACUGGGCGUAAAGGGCGUGUAGGCGGCCUGGGGCGUCCCAUGUGAAAGGCCACGGCUCAACCGUGGAGGAGCGUGGGAUACGCUCAGGCUAGAGGGUGGGAGAGGGUGGUGGAAUUCCCGGAGUAGCGGUGAAAUGCGCAGAUACCGGGAGGAACGCCGAUGGCGAAGGCAGCCACCUGGUCCACUUCUGACACUGAGGCGCGAAAGCGUGGGGAGCAAACUGGAUUAGAUACCCGAGUAGUCCCUGUCUCUUAUAC
rnacentral:rRNA from 1 species